AGUGAACGCUGGCGGUAGGCCUAAAACAUGCAAGUCGAACGGCAGCACAGUAAGAGCUUGCUCUUACGGGUGGCGAGUGGCGGACGGGUGAGGAAUACGUCGGAAUCUACUUUUUCGUGGGGGAUAACGUAGGGAAACUUACGCUAAUACCGCAUACGACCUACGGGUGAAAGCAGGGGAUCUUCGGACCUUUCGCGAUUGAAUGAGCCGAUGUCGGAUUAGCUAGUUGGCGGGGUAAAGGCCCACCAAGGCGACGAUCCGUAGCUGGUCUGAGAGGAUGAUCAGCCACACUGGAACUGAGACACGGUCCAGACUCCUACGGGAGGCAGCAGUGGGGAAUAUUGGACAAUGGGCGCAAGCCUGAUCCAGCCAUACCGCGUGGGUGAAGAAGGCCUUCGGGUUGUAAAGCCCUUUUGUUGGGAAAGAAAAGCAGCAGGUUAAUACCCCGCUGUUCUGACGGUACCCAAAGAAUAAGCACCGGCUAACUUCGUG
rnacentral:rRNA from 1 species